UGUCGUAACAAGGUAGCCGUAUCGGAAGGUGCGGCUGGAUCACCUCCUUUCUAAGGAUAUUAUACGGAAUAUAAGACCUUAGGUCUUAUAAACAGAACGUUCCCUGUCUUGUUUAGUUUUGAAGGAUCAUUCCUUCGAAACGUGUUCUUUGAAAACUAGAUAACAGUAGACAUCACAUUCAAUUAGUAACACAAGAUAUCGACAUAGUGAU
rnacentral:misc_RNA from 1 species